CAUUUCCCGACCGCAAUGAUCUUCGUGAUAGGCAAACUCAUGAUCGAUUGAAGAAUGAUUUGAUCGAAAACAUUUGGAAUAAAUUUGGUAAUCAAGAUUAAUAAUUAGUUCUCUUUGUAAUAUUAUUAAAUCAUUGUAUCUUUUUUUUUUAAUAAUACAAUUAAUAAAAUUUCAAUUUUAAUUUUUUUUACAAAAAAAUAUUAUUUUAUUCCUAAGGACUCAUUCUUCAGGAUCACCAUUGGACGAGUAUUUUAGAUCCGAAUCUUUAACUAAUAAAAAAAAAAAAAUUAUAUGCUUAAAAUAUGAUUAAGGACUCAUGUGGGAGUAUCACCAUUGGACAUGGUCUUAUACCU
rnacentral:lncRNA from 1 species